AUACGGAGGGAGCGAGCGUUAAUCGGAAUUACUGGGCGUAAAGCGCGCGUAGGCGGCUUUGUAAGUCGGAUGUGAAAGCCCAGGGCUCAACCCUGGAAUUGCAUUCGAUACUGCACGGCUAGAGUAUGGUAGAGGGAAGUGGAAUUUCCGGUGUAGCGGUGAAAUGCGUAGAUAUCGGAAGGAACACCAGUGGCGAAGGCGACUUCCUGGGCCAAUACUGACGCUGAGGUGCGAAAGCGUGGGGAGCAAACAGGAUUAGAAACCCCGGUAGUCC
rnacentral:rRNA from 1 species